UGGCGGACGGGUGAGUAAUGUCUGGGGAUCUGCCUGAUGGAGGGGGAUAACUACUGGAAACGGUAGCUAAUACCGCAUAACGUCGCAAGACCAAAGAGGGGGACCUUCGGGCCUCUUGCCAUCAGAUGAACCCAGAUGGGAUUAGCUAGUAGGUGGGGUAACGGCUCACCUAGGCGACGAUCCCUAGCUGGUCUGAGAGGAUGACCAGCCACACUGGAACUGAGACACGGUCCAGACUCCUACGGGAGGCAGCAGUGGGGAAUAUUGCACAAUGGGCGCAAGCCUGAUGCAGCCAUGCCGCGUGUAUGAAGAAGGCCUUCGGGUUGUAAAGUACUUUCAGCGAGGAGGAAGGUGGUGAGUUUAAUACGCUCAUCAAUUGACGUUACUCGCAGAAGAAGCACCGGCUAACUCCGUGCCAGCAGCCGCGGUAAUACGGAGGGUGCAAGCGUUAAUC
rnacentral:rRNA from 1 species